AGAGUUUGAUCCUGGCUCAGGAUGAACGCUAGCUACAGGCUUAACACAUGCAAGUCGAGGGGCAGCAUGGUCUUAGCUUGCUAAGGCCGAUGGCGACCGGCGCACGGGUGAGUAACACGUAUCCAACCUGCCGUCUACUCUUGGACAGCCUUCUGAAAGGAAGAUUAAUACAAGAUGGCAUCAUGAGUCCACAUGUUCACAUGAUUAAAGGUAUUCCGGUAGACGAUGGGGAUGCGUUCCAUUAGAUAGUAGGCGGGGUAACGGCCCACCUAGUCUUCGAUGGAUAGGGGUUCUGAGAGGAAGGUCCCCCACAUUGGAACUGAGACACGGUCCAAACUCCUACGGGAGGCAGCAGUGAGGAAUAUUGGUCAAUGGGCGAGAGCCUGAACCAGCCAAGUAGCGUGAAGGAUGACUGCCCUAUGGGUUGUAAACUUCUUUUAUAAAGGAAUAAAGUCGGGUAUGCAUACCCGUUUGCAUGUACUUUAUGAAUAAGGAUCGGCUAACUCCGUGCCAGCAGCCGCGGUAAUACGGAGGAUCCGAGCGUUAUCCGGAUUUAUUGGGUUUAAAGGGAGCGUAGAUGGAUGUUUAAGUCAGUUGUGAAAGUUUGCGGCUCAACCGUAAAAUUGCAGUUGAUACUGGAUGUCUUGAGUGCAGUUGAGGCAGGCGGAAUUCGUGGUGUAGCGGUGAAAUGCUUAGAUAUCACGAAGAACUCCGAUUGCGAAGGCAGCCUGCUAAGCUGCAACUGACAUUGAGGCUCGAAAGUGUGGGUAUCAAACAGGAUUAGAUACCCUGGUAGUCCACACGGUAAAUGAUGAAUACUCGCUGUUUGCGAUAUACUGCAAGCGGCCAAGCGAAAGCGUUAAGUAUUCCACCUGGGGAGUACGCCGGCAACGGUGAAACUCAAAGGAAUUGACGGGGGCCCGCACAAGCGGAGGAACAUGUGGUUUAAUUCGAUGAUACGCGAGGAACCUUACCCGGGCUUAAAUUGCAGAUGAAUUACGGUGAAAGCCGUAAGCCGCAAGGCAUCUGUGAAGGUGCUGCAUGGUUGUCGUCAGCUCGUGCCGUGAGGUGUCGGCUUAAGUGCCAUAACGAGCGCAACCCUUGUUGUCAGUUACUAACAGGUUCUGCUGAGGACUCUGACAAGACUGCCAUCGUAAGAUGUGAGGAAGGUGGGGAUGACGUCAAAUCAGCACGGCCCUUACGUCCGGGGCUACACACGUGUUACAAUGGGGGGUACAGAGGGCCGCUACCACGCGAGUGGAUGCCAAUCCCAAAAACCUCUCUCAGUUCGGACUGGAGUCUGCAACCCGACUCCACGAAGCUGGAUUCGCUAGUAAUCGCGCAUCAGCCACGGCGCGGUGAAUACGUUCCCGGGCCUUGUACACACCGCCCGUCAAGCCAUGGGAGCCGGGGGUACCUGAAGUGCGUAACCGCGAGGAGCGCCCUAGGGUAAAACUGGUGACUGGGGCUAAGUCGUAACAAGGUAGCC
rnacentral:rRNA from 1 species